AGGAAAGAUAUGCUGCAAAAACUGAGUGAAAGUGGACCUGAUUUAGUCUUGGGAGAGCAAAGAUAAACCUGGGAAUAUAACAAUAUAACAAUUGUGAUGAGAUUUAAAGGAAAUGAAAAUUAAACAAUGUAGAGAGAGUAGCAGGAGAAAGGCAUGGAAUAGAGCAUCCUAAGCAAGCAAUGGGCCCAAAGCCAUCAGUUUUGUCCUAUAGAGAAACAGAAAGCCAAGUGGAACCCAGAACACAGGUCAUGCUUUUGAAGUUAAGUAUAAGAACUUGUCUACCCCAAGAUUCUGAAGAUUUUCUCUUGCUUUCUUCUAGAAAUUUUACCAUUUUAUUUAGAUAUGCAGAUGGCACAUUAGAAAAGGAAAAGCUAGCUGGCCAACACCAUUAGCCAUUUUUGAAAAACAAAUUAAAACUAAAAGAAAAUAUAUUUACCUAUUAUAAC
rnacentral:lncRNA from 1 species